UUGCAGUCGGCAAGUCCUACACGACCAGCUCCUGUAGAAUCCCCCAGGGUGGGAACGCAGCAAGGGUAUACGGUCGUAGCGGUGCGAUGUAGGUAGCUUGCCGUUUU
rfam:Zobellia galactanivorans strain DsiJT chromosome, complete genome.